AUUGUCAAAAAUUUUGCUAGGUAAUUAGCAUAUGAGGUUAAUCCAGGCAGAUUUUAUUUUCACAUUUUACAGAUGAAGAAACUAAGAAUGUGAGCCCUAAAAGAACUUGCCCAAGAUGACAAGCAAAAUAAGCAGCAGAACUAGCCAGGGCUCAAAUCCAAAUUUUCUGGCUCCAAAGCACAUGUGCACUGGAAUAUAUGUAAGAAGACUGUUGAACUGUCUCUGAAGGAAUAUAGUAUCAUCCAGAGCCUCUACAGUGCUUCACGCUCACUGUCCAGCAAUCACUAAAGUGCCUAGAAGUUAUACCCAGCUUCCCCCAAGGAAGAUCAUAGCCAACACCUGAUUGUUAUAAGAAGAAUAGAAUUCCUGCAAAAUCUCCAGUCUCUUGCUUCCAGUUGCAGACAUCCUUCACAGACAGAUCAGCAAAAGACCAGAGAAGAAUCAGUGUAACAGGAAAUAAACGAGAAAUUCAAAGAUCAUGACCUCUAAUACCUUUUUAACUACUACCUUACCAUCUGAUCUUCUGCUAGUCACUCAUCCUUGCAUAGCCUCCUUUCUGUAGUUUGUAAAAUGGGAAUGACAACAGUGUGGUUACCCCCCAAAGGGAUUGGGUAGAAAAAACGGGCACAGGGGCUGUAAAAUACCUCGCAGUCCAUAAAAUGCUACAUAAAUGCUUGAAAACAAAACAAGAGCCCCACGGUUUAAUAUAAAACUAGUUUUUCAGCUAAACUAAGUACUAGCAGAAGCAACUGAGAUCAAACAGGAAAAUAUGCAAAGCUCCUGGUCAUGAUUAAAAGGGUUUAUUUGUUUGAAUUGAUUUUGUGGACCAAUGGGUAUGUGUCUGCACAGACUACACGAGCCAAUGUGUAUGGAGUAAUCCAGUCAUGACACGGUACUCCUCACAGGAUAGUCCAGUCAAGCAGGCUGGAAUCAGAUGCUAGGAGGCGUAUCAUUACUCAGUCCCAGGGGUGCCUUCCUCUUUCAGUGGGUUUGUAGGUGUGUGUUUUGUCUAAUAGCACUGUUUACGGUAAACAACCAGAGGUAGAGAAAAUAGUUCUGAUGUAUUUUUUAGCCACCCUAGUUGAAUAGGUUCAUUAUGCCACUUUUCUUUUGAAAUUCUAAUUUCACUUACUUAAAACUAACAUCAUUUGUUUCAAAGAAUCUCCCCCCAAAUUAUGAUUUUACUCAGGAAGUUAAUCACAACUAGAUGUUGCCUGACAUAAUUUAUUGAACAUUCAGAAAUAUCUUAAUCAUUUUCCAGUUUUUCCUUUCUGUUCCUCAGAAGAGAAGUAAGAAGAGAGGGUAGAUCUUAUCACCUCUUACAGAAGAGAUGUGGUCUCAGUCUCAGAGUCACUUGCUAACUUAUUACUUAAUACUUUUUUUAAAAGUAAAAGCCAUCAGAAGAAUGAUAAGUCCUUUAAUCAGAAGAGAGAGGACAGAUUAACUCAACUAACAUAUAAAGAAUAUUUAAUAUGUAUUAUUAGCAUGCAGUAAGUAACAUAAAAUAGUUUUACUAGAAUUGAUACUCCCGAGCCAUCACUGGGUGAAGAGCCAAAGGAACACACUAUGACUCCAUCUUUUCAUUUAUUAACUGCAGAGCCCUAAACAAUCGCUCAGCUUUUUAACCUGUCGGUUCCUUCAUUCAUCCAACAAAGAUUCAUUGAGACCAGCUAUGUGCUAUGCAUUCUUCUAGGGACUAGAGAGUCAGUGAACAACAGAAAUAAAAGUCCCUGCCUUCAUAAAGUUUAUAUUCAAGUACAUGCCCCACCCAUCUCAAAGCACCGUGACAAUCUAGGUAUGACAAUUUAUGGGAAAGUGUUUUGUAAAUUGUUAAGUACCACAGGAAUAUGUUAUUCCCAUGAUUAUGGCAAUUAUGUUAUUACUAAUACUAUUUAGUGUUAAAUAUAAAGUCAGAUUUUUAAAGAUAAAUAUAGAUUUUUUGGCAUAAAUGGAGGUAAGGGGAGAAAAGAAACAUUUAGAAAUGGAACAAGCCAAAGACAGACCUUGUGGUUUUAUCAGGUUUUCCAAGAGCAAGUAAGAGUUUUCUGUUUUUCUGGUAUAUACAAUGCAAGGAAUUUGAGAUUGUGAGAAAUUAAUUUGAGAGGAUGACAUUGGCGAAAUGGUAGAAUAGGAAGUCCCAGCCCACAUGCCCCCAACAGAAACACCAGUUUAAAAGCCAUCCAUGAAAGAAAAUACCUUUAUGGAACUCCGGAGUCCAGUUGAGAUGUCCUGGUAUUCUUGAGAAGCAAAAAAUCCAGAAACAGCCACAUUGAAGAGUAAGAAGAAGAGUUUCACUUGAUCUGCAUGGCCCCUCCUCCAAACCAGCACGGCUCAGAGCUGAGAAAAAUGCCUUGGUCCAGAUUCUCCCACAGAGGAAAGGAGAAGACAGCCUGUGGCUUCCUCAGCCUCUUGGAGUGCUGUCCGGGAUGCCUGUUUCAGUCUCAUCUCACCCGGAGCACUGAGGGACUGUGCAUAACUGCACAGUCUGGGGGAAGCUAAGAACAAAGUAAAAGAGUGGGACUCAUAGUAACUGGUAUGUGGAUCUCAACAACUAGCCACAGAUCCCACCAGCCCGCAUCCAUGGGCCCCACGAGCCAGGCCAGUUUUGCACCCGCAGCUAAUGCCUGCAAGGCCCCAAGCUCUCCUCUGUGCAUCCCUGCAGACAGUGCUUGCACACGCAGAUCUCAGCAGCAGGCUGAACUCUAUGGGAUUAGGAGAAAUACACGACCCUGAGGCUGCUCCUUCAGGCAGGAGGGAGAGUAGUAGGGCUAUCACCUCUCAUUCUGGCGUCUCUAUCCUAGGGAAAAGGGGCUGGGGGCUCUCAGCACUGGGCACAGCUCUGCAGGCUAAGAAGAAGGUAUAUAAUCUUAAGACAUCUCCUUCAGUAGGGAGGGGGAGGAGUGGAACUUGCCCCCAACACUACCCUAGGGAAAUAGAGUGGGAGGAAUCUCAGCAGCUGGUAUGACUCUGCAGAGUUGAGACAAGAUAUGGAAUUCUAAAUGUCCUCCACCCACCCCACAUGCACACCCAAGACAGAGUGAGAGGAGUAGAGUGGGCACAGCUAUAGAAAAAGUUUGAAAGAGCUCCAAAAUCUCUAGCCAGCCUGACUGCUGAAGGUCUUUUCUCCCCAAACCAAUUCAUAAAAACUGGAAGAAGUGAGGGUUUCUUCAAGUGUGCAGAUACCAGUGCAAGGCUACAAGGAACAGAAAAAGUCAGGAAGCAUGACACCCAGCAGAGGACCAAAAUAAAGCUCCUGCAAUUGACCCCAAAGAAAUAAAGUCUAUAUGUUGCCUGACAGAUAAUUCAAAAUUAUUGUCUUAAGCUCAGUGAGUUACAAGAGACACAGACAAUUAAACAAAAUGAGGAAAACAAUACAUGAACAAAAGGAGAAGUUCAGAAAAUAAAUAGAAAACUUUGAAAAAGGAGCCAAACAGAAGUUCUGCAUCAUAAAAAGAAAACCAAUGAUUGAACUGAAAAAUUCAACAGAAAGCAUCAACGGCUGACAUGAUCAAGCAGAUGAAAGCAUCAGAUAAUGUAUAGAUAAGUCACUUGAAAUCAUCCAUUUAGUGGAACAAAAAGAAAAAAAAUAAUGAAAUAGGGUGAUGAAAGCCUAUAGGACUUAUAGAAUACCAUCACAUGAACCAAUGCCCCACUUUCAAAAACACAGUUGUCUAAACAGGAAAACAGUAAGGAAACAGCAGAUUUGAACAAUGUUAUAAAUCAAACAGACCUAACAGACAUAUAUGGGACAUUCCAUUCAACAAUAGCAAAAUACACAUUGUUCUCAAGUGCGCAUAAAGCAUUAUCCAAGAAACAUCACAUGUUAGGUCACAAAACAAGUCUUUAACAAAUUUAAGAAGAUUGAAAGCAUCCCAAGUGUCUUUUCCAAUCACAGUGGAAAGAAACUAGAAAUCAAUAAUGUAAGAAAAAUGGGAAGAUACAGAAAUCCAUGAAAUUAAACACGACAUUCUUAAAUACUGAGUCAAAGAAGAAAUCAAAAAGGAAAUUUGAAAAUAUCUUGACAAACAAAAACAAAAACACAACAUGAGAAAGCUUACGGGAUGCAGCAAAAGCAGAAUUGAGAAUUCAACUUUGGAAAUUAUGUAUUUCCAGACUGCUACAGAGAAAUACACAACAGAUGUCUCAAUAUCUGAGACCAAGAUUCAGAUGAGAAGUUGGGAUUAACGUCAAAGAAGUGGGUGUCAUCAGCAAUAAAGUAUUAAUGGAGAUUUUAAGGGCUGAUGAAAUUUCCCAAGGCAAGCAUGGAAAUUACCAAGAGAAUCGUUUCAAGGAUGAAAUGUUUGAACCAUCAUGUGUUAGUUUAGUUUAGUUUCCCCUUGUCCAGGAGGCUAAGUGCUCCCUUUAUGCUAUCACCUUCCUCCCCAUUCACUACACUUCUUCUCUCUGCUUUGGAGGAGACAGUGGGCUUAAGAAUUCCUAAAGGGCUACCGGAGGAGGUAAUGAGGGAAGAUCUCAACUCCCUUCUAAAUUGUGUAAAUCAUGCCUCUUCCUCUCCUCUCUCCUUUUCUGUCUGCCCCAGUCUGAAGUUGCAGAAAAUAGCCAUGAAAUCAUAUAUACCAGUUAUUUUGUGUUGAGCAGCAUCUGAGUCUGUUUUGGCAGUAGAGGAAGUGGAGAAAUGAAGAAAAAAAAUACGAAUGAAAACAUACAAAUACAAUCUGUGCAUACUAUCUUGGAGGAAAAGCAACAUUAAUCAUUUAUUUAUUUAUUCAUCCUCCUCAUUUAUUAAACAAAUGUGUAUUGAGAAUCUAUCUUAUGGUAAGUACUCAGCACAAUAGAGAACGUAAAAAGAAAUAAAACUUGAUCCUGGCCCUUGAGGUAUUUACAGUCUAGAAGAGAGAGCUAUUCCUAUUAGAUUUUCUUCUAAAUACUUCAAAUCUGAAAGAUAAGAGAAUCUGAGAACUUUAAUAAUAGAAAGCCCAGAAGAGUAAGUUAUACUUUCAAAUAAUUUUGUCUAUAUUUAUUCUAAUCAUAAAAUAUAAAAUAUGUCAAGAUAAUUUAUUUAAUGUGAAUGAAAGAAUUUCUGUUUGAAUAACAUCAGUGGCAAGCACUGGUUGGUUGGUUGGAUGCAGUGACCUUCAGACUUCUUAGUUCCAAUCAAAUAAACUCUUUUUUGAGUCCCCUAUGACAAGAUACUCAGUCUAUUUCCAAAAAGUUAAAUCUUUUCCUUCACACUGAAUUAAAGCAUACAUUUUUUUCUCAUGCUGUAAUUUUGAAUCAAAUAAUCCAUAAAAAAUGACUGUUGCUGAUUUAUAUAUAUAUUUUUUCAAUUCCGAGCUUUAAUUCUUUUAUUCAUAAACAUUCCUUCUAGUGUCCUGGAUAAAAGAUUUCCAACUCUGCCUUUAAGUAAAAGCAUCUCUUCUCUUUCUGUUCUCUAACAUCUUUUUAAAAGAAAUUGAUUUAAAGUCUCAUGAUAUUUAAUUCCUCAUUAAUUUUCAAUACCUCACUAUAUGUGUAUGUGAAUGAUAUUCAAACUCACCGUAUUCAACUGAACUUUUAAUAAAUCCUUUUUGCUAGCCACACUUAAAAAUAAUCACAAGCUUUAGAAACAUCUGCAUAGUCAUUUACAUAACAUUUAAUCAUUGUUUUUAGUUUUCUGGGAUUUUCCACCCUUUUCAUUCUUAUGUCUUUCUCCUUUCAACUAUUCAUGAAGUUUUAUCACCUGGAGAUAAAGCAAUUUAAAUGUUGUUUUUUUUUCCAAUUUGCUCUUUCCUAUAUUCACAAGUUUGCCAGAUUCUAGAAAUCCAUAAUAAUACACCAAACAUUCAAGCUGAGCAUACUUUUGUGGGUAAGGAAAACUAAACAUUUGCCAAUUUCAAGACAGUUGACUAACCCAUUGUUUUCCGAAUGAUCAGGAAAGAGCAGGUUCAAGGGAAAUAUUUUAUUUGAAAGAAGGCAGGACAUGUCAAGGUGCAGUAAUUCCAUGUAUAAUUCUACAUUAGACAUAUGCAUCCAGAGAGUAAAUGUACCCUUUCUUUGGCCAAAACAUCAUUAAAGAAAAUAGAGAACAUACAAAAAUACUGUCAGCCCUACUACUUGCAAUAAUAUGGACACAAACAAGAAAACAAAAUUUAAAAACAAACGUAAUUUUCAACUGCCAUUGUUGAGACUGUCCAUCCAAUCUCUGGAUGCUGAAAGAUCAACAUCAAUAUUAAAAGAACACUGUAAACAAAGGUUAAAUGUCCGCCCUUAAGCCGUUCCCUUUGUAUGUCCUGCUGUUGCAAUUGUAAGGUCUGUCACUCUGAAAGCAGAUGAUUCAUUGCAAUUGUGAGACCAUUUUCAUCUGAACAAUCAACAGUAAUGAUGUGUUGUGAAUAAUACAGCUGAAGAUUGUUCUGGUGUGAAUUGUCAGCCAGAGAUCUUUGCCACGUCCCAAGCUUCGGAGCGACUGAGCUGUAGCGCAGACUGUCCUGCCUUUCUGUAGACUCUCUUCAAGGGUGGAGACUAUUUGAGUAUCACCAUUCUGUGAAUUAUCAAUCAGCCCAAAACACAGUCCCCUCCUCCUUUUAAUGGAAAAUGGAAUAUUUACUCAAUGUAUCAUAUCAGAUGAAACUGGUUUCUUAGAGAAAGGCGCCUACCUGUGCUUAGCUCCACAACUGAAGGCCAUCCCGGAUUUACGUCGAAAGUUUUUAUGUAAGGACGCCUCUCAGAGAAGGAGUUUUCAAACAGUGUAAAGACUGUACUAAAUGUCAGGAGGUCUGACGUUUAGUCUCAGCUAUUCUGAUGUCUAGUUGUGUGCCCUUUGCUAUGUCAAGUCCUGUAUGAAUUUCUGUUUUUAUCUGAUCGAAUGGGACUAGCCCAGUGGUUCUCAAAUUGGCUGGACAUUAAAAUUGCUUGGAAAACUUUUUAAAAACAUAGGGGCCUGCAGUCUUCCCCAGACAAGUUAAAUCAGAAUUUCUGAAGGUGGGGCUGAGGCAUUAGUAUUUUCUUAAGCUCCCUGUGUGAUUGUAAUAUGCAUCCAACGAUCACUCCCAGCUCUAAAACGUUCUGACAUUUUAUAAAACUUGCCGAUUGAGAACCUCAGCAUGUGUUUCAAAUGAGUUCAGAGGAGAGAAUUUCCAGUGUUAGGUGUUGGUGUUUGUUCUAUCAGUUGCAUUCACAAUGUAGGCUGACAAGGGAAAAAAAAAAAAGGACCAAGAAAAAAAAAA